GUCCUUGGUACAAGAUUAGCAAAAGCAGACAUGGCAGGUAUAAGAUUAGCAUAGGCAAACACCUCUGAAGUCCCACCACCCAAAGUACAAUAGAACUUCCUUUGCCUGUCUGGAGCCUGAGGCAAGUCUGGUGAGGGGAUUAGGCUUUCCUUGGCCAACAAUCAGCUCAGCAAUUGUCACCUCUGGGAACUUCCUGGAGUCCCUUUUUCAAGGAGAAAAUAGCUUUGGAAUGGAGGAAACUGGCAAAGGAGUUGAUUUUAUAUUAUUUUUAAAGCUAGUUAACUUCCCUGGGCUGUCAAGUUGAAAGGAUAUAUUCAGGCAAAAUAUUAGUAACAUUUAACUUUAAAGAUUGCUCCCCCCCCCUGUAAUUUCCGUAACAGGCCCUACCUGCACUACAGAGCCACUGUGGUGCCUUGGCAAAGAAAUGGGAGUUGUGAACCCGGAAUUCCCUGCUUAUGAUCUUCUUACUCCUCUUCCAUGAACUCAGUUCAGGGGCUUUGACAGGCCACCUGGUGCCGCAGAGCAAUGCUGACAUUCCCCAGAGCUGCUCCAAAAAGUGGACAUGAAGUGCUUGGGCAUUCUAAACUGCUAUAUACAAUUAUUAGACUCCAAUAUUCUGCACAGAGAUAUUAGCAGUUCCAGACAGGAAAUUAAUUUCUUCUUUUCAUUUCCCACAAUAAAGUAGCCAGAUGCACUAGGUGUGCUUUGGCAUACGUAAGUCUGACAUUUGCUUCUAAACAAUGGUGGGGAUGAAGUAAAAGGCUGGGAAACAUCUUCCCCAUUGCUUGCUAGACAAGCUCACUGGGUGUAAGUUAUAUUCCAUUAUAAUCAAUGGGAAUUUCCCCAUUGACUUUAAUGGGAAAUAGAUUGUUUCAUCCACAUUUCUUAUUUGCAAUUACUUUCAGAGAUUUUCCAGGGGAGAAAAUAAAUAAUUGUAUCAAACUGGGUUAGUGAAAUUAUAACAUGGAUGAAAAAGUCACGCGCCUUGAUUCUUGGAAAGUUUCCAGCAAAGUUUCCAAUUGUUAAGGAACUCCAAACAUCGUAGAACGCCUAUGCCAAAACAGGCCAGUUUAGGAUAUGAGAUUUGAAAUUACAUGUAUUCAAAACUGAUAGUUCAUAGAGAUUUGGAUCCUUCCAAAUUUUUGUAAAUAAUUUCUUUAAUUAUAUACCCGGCUUUCCAAUCCCUACUUUUUGUUGUUAGAAUGACAAAUUCUGCUUACAAAUUAUAUGUUUUCAUUUUAAAUAUAGUAUACUCUUCUGCCCAUACAUGCCAUGUAUCUUAUUUAAUCUGAUUCACUGGCUCAUUAUUCUAAAAUAAUAGAAGAGUCUCCUUCCCAUACAAGAAACCACAAGGAUGAUGGAGGACUGUUGUCCUCUGCCCUGAACAGUCUUCUCUCCACACCUGAGGCACAUUCAUCCUACAAUCAUCAGAACUGGUUUAACAGGCAGCCCCUUUCCCCAGGAACUCCGGGAAUUGUAGUUGUGUAGGGAAAGGAAUGCUACGAAUCUACAACAGAAUGUACCUUAUGGCUACAAACCCCAGCUUCCUGUGCAGAAAUGCUUAAGAGUUAAGGUGGUAAAAAUACUGGCAUAAGGUGUGUGAUAUAGAUAGUGCCCUUCUGAGCCCUUCAUCUGACACUGCACAUUCUUCCUUCUUCCUUUUCCACAGGGGGGAAUGUAUUGGGACACCCGAUCUCAGUGAUCAUGGGCAGCAGGAGGAGUUGUGCUAAGACCAGACCAAGUCAUUACCAAGGAGGCAGGCUUAGUUGUUGUUUGAGGACUAUCCCUGCCUCCAGGUUUGGUCCUGACAGGAAGGAUACUGGAAUCAGCAAGGGAAACCCACAUGACCUGAAAGUGUUGCUGUGCAAUGCCAGGUCAAUGAUGAAUAAAACCACUGCCAUCCAUGACCUGAUUGUGGAUGGAGGACUUGACCUGGCAUGUGUGACAGAGACUUGUUUGGAUGAAACAGAUGGGCCUUUCAGCUGAUUCCCUGGUGGCCCGCUGGAAUGCAGAGUUAACCAGGGUUAUUGACUGUCUGGCUCCGAAGUGCCCUCUACGAUUGCAUGGAUCCCAGACAGCCCCGUGGUUUUUCCUGGAGCUGAGGGUGUUGAAACAAUCGUUGAGAUGGCUAGAGCUCAACAUCAAGCCUACCAAGUGGCAAUGGCGACGGUGAAGAAGACCUUCUUCACUGCCUCUAUUGCAUCUGCAGAAAACAGCAGCAGGAGACUCUUUCGCAAUCUAUUGGAACCACCUUCGUCACCAGGGUCUGGUAGGGACCCCAAGAUCUCCUGCAAUGCUUUUGCAAAGUUUUUUGCAGAUGAAGUCGCUCAGAUUCGGAAGGAGGUAGACUCCGCCGUGGGAUCAGGACCGGGGCAGG